AUCAGGAGCCCAAAUCCGCUACUAGGGUUCCACCAUUUCCGAUGAGGUGUGUCCAUCUCCGCGUAACACUAUAAAAUUCCAAGUAUUGACCUUUAUUUUUGAAAAAAAGGAACGUUUGGGGCCAAAAGUGUUAAUCCAAACCUUGGUCCUCUACAAUCCCCCGUCACCUCGCGGGUUCCUGAUUUUUCCUUUCGUUUUCUCUCUCCUCUGCCGGACCGUCUUUUCCUUCCGAUGGUUUCUCUGAAAAACAGUCGCCGAUCCCGACUAGCUCCUGCCACCCCGCCAAAUGUAACGGAAGGCAGCGACCCACAGUCUUCGGACGAGUAUAACCCAAGUCAGGGGAACAAGAAUCAACGGCAGGCGAUGGGAACCGGACGGAGGUCCUUGCGGAAAAGGAAAAUUCAAGAUACUGCCGGAAAAGGGAGAGAGAAUAAAUUUCUGGCCCCGUCAGCAAAAAUGGACGAGAAACAGACACCUCAUAGGAUACCUGCAUACCUACGGAGCAGCCACUCUUGCCAGAAAGAUAGUGCUGAGAGCUCUGAUGCACAAGGAAAGAAGUCAAGGGGCCGGAAUCGAGCUGUAGCUAUUAUAACCUUACCUCCUGGCGAGAAAUUUCCUCUCUUGAUUAAUAAGUUAGGGCAGCCAUAUGGAUCACAUGCCAAAGAUUUGACACGCUAUGUGGGAGUUCUAGCUCGAGAUCCAAAUAAGGCGCCACUCAUUUACCAUACAUGGCGUGAGUUGCCAGUUCGUUAUAAAGAUGACGUGUGGUUGCAAAUAAAGAACAAAUUCGAACUCCCAAACAGUAAAGAUCUUCCGGAGGCAUUUCGGUGCUAUGUGAUGGAUUCUUUCAAGAAAAAAUUGAGUGACUGGAGGUGUGUACUUCGGAACAUUUACAACAUUCAUGAUGCCCAAGAUGCACGCCUGCAAGCUUGCCCCAAGGAUAUUCCUCAGGAUCAGUGGAGAUCUCUCAUGGAGUACUUUGAUACUAAGAAGUCAAAAGACCAAAGUUCUAGGAACGCGAACAAUCGUGCACGGCAGACGAUGCUUCACACUUUGGGGACAAAGAGCUUGGCAUGUUUUCGUGCAGAACAGUCCACCGAGGACAGUGAUGGCAUUGAUUUGCCUCGACUUGAUGUGUGGAUUAAAACGCACACAAGUGACCGAUUUCCAAAAGGGACGAAAGGCGCUGCCCCUAUAAUUGAUAGACUUAGAAACCAAGCAUCACAGCUGCUAAUGGAUAUGAGUGAAGUUUCAAACCCUAAUAACGAUGUGCUCUCGCAAGAGCUCUCUAAGGAUUAUGUUGGGCGUGCUCGUACAUAUGGGCUUGGUGCACAUGUUGGGGAUAUCGAUGGAUCUAAGCCAAGCAAAAAAUCACUUAUGUUGCAAAAUGAAGCACUCAAGCAGAAACUAAGUCAACUUGAAGAAGAAGCACUUAUGUUGCAAAAUGAUGAACUCUCGCAGAGAAUAAGGCGCCUUGAGCAGUUCAUGGAGGCACGAGGAUGGCGCAGCAAUGAUGCAUAGGCUAAGGAACGGCAACUAUCAGUUCAACAGCCUUCAACAUGCAUAUGUUAUGCACCUCUUGAGCUAUAUGGUUUGGGUUACAUGCUUUUUGACGUUGACCUCUCAAAGCUUGGAAUCAAAUGAAAAUCAUUAGAUGGGAUGUGUCUUCUAUGUAAAUUCAAUUGGAUUUACCCUACCUGAUCUGUGAGUUGGCUAAGUCAUUACAGCAGAUUAAUAAGUCUAAUCUUGCUACAAGUCAUAAGGAAGUUCUGAAUCAGAGGAAUAAGUCAGGUAAGCAUAAUGAUCUGCCUUUAAAUUUAACUUCUUGCUCUAUGCCUUGGACCACUGAUAGUGGAGCAUGCUCCCAUGUUAGGCCAUGUGGUUGGUAAAUUCACUCAGCCAUAGAGAAUCAAAUUUCUAGGUAAUUUGUGUAAAUGUUCUUGAUAUUUCGUAUUGUUAUUAGCCACAGCAUAGCGAUUGGAAUCCCUUAUCUUACUUUCAUAUUGGUGGCACAUUAGGUCUGACAUUCUCAAGUUUUCCGUUUGAAUGGGCAGCAUCAUUUACAAGUUAUCCUCACUUUAGCCUAGCACUAGCAGACUAUAUAAUAACGCAAGUAUGCAAACUUCUGACAAUCUGACUAAUUUUCAUAUCUCUCUACACUUUCUUAUAUGGUUGAACAUUUUCACAUAAGCCAUAAAAAAAAGGUGCAGGUUAUUGGUGGUCUUGUAAAGUCAUAAUGCUUCCUCUAGUAGCAUUGAAGACUAAGCCUUGCAUUCUAUGUUUUCACACAUUUUGAAACUGUUCCAGAAUCAACUGGAAUAGGAAGCAAACUUUAUGCAGCUAUAGUAGCUGCAGUUCUGGUUAGUCAGUAUUCCCUUUAUGAUGCUGCAGCACGUCUGACAGAGGAAACAAGGGGAGCAGACAAAAAUUGAAAGGUUCUUCUGUUCGUCAUACCUCAAUAUGACGGUGUGGUGCUCUUUAUUGCUCAUAAAUGACUGACGUUUGAUACAGUUUAUAGAAUCUAAAUUGUUUGUGAGAUGAUAAUGAGACGGCCAGUGCUUUGGUGUCUCCACAGAUACUUUAUGAUGCAUUCUAUGCGAGGCACCAAAGUCCAGCCGGUGUCGUAGUUUUUUCUCUAUCCAGGUGGGGAUCAUUUUUCUAGUGGCCUUUCAUUUAUUAAUGCUGCUAAAGUGAUAUACAAGAUCGUUAUAAUUCAGUGUAUCCAUGGUGUUGUGCUCUUUAUCACAUCUGGCUGUGUAUUCGAGAUGUCAUUUUUCAGAAGUUGAAUGUCAUGUUUCUUACAAGCAUGUUUCAGCUACAAACUAUUGACAGUGACACCUGAUGAAGAUAUGCUUCUUGCAAGAUUUGCAUAUGGCCUUCCAGUUUCAGGAUUGCAAUGGGUGUCAGGUUGGCAUUGAACACAAUUAUCAUAACUGUUAGAAGAUUUGAGCAUGAAUGCACUAAUUAGGAAAUCUAGGGUUUUAUUUAUGUUCCCCACUGGCUUAAACCCUACCGUACUGGAUGAAGAUUUGGUACCAAUUAAAGAAUUUUCUUAGUUAAUAGGGUUAGUGAACAUGUUGAACAAGCCAAGGGUUUGCUAAUUUGCAUGUAUACCAAGUUCAACUUUGGGCUUGUAACGUUGUGCACAAGUCUUUAGAAGUGCAGUUCCGAAUACCUUUUUGAGAAAGGCUAGUCUUCUAAAUGUUUCUACAACAUAUAUUUUUAACUUUGAGUGAUGCAGCAGAGACAGAGGGAGAGUAUGAUUCAGGAAUCUUGCACUGCUAUAUGUAAAAGGAGUACGGAUGUGUUUUGUGUUGCUUCAUGUCAUUCAUUUUUCAUUUCUAAUUUUUUGCUUUUCUGGUGAUCAUAUUUAUCUGCUACAGAAUAGUUUUGCAGACAAGGCUGCCAAAAGUGAUUGUAAAUCUUCCUAUCAAGAGGCUCAAGGAUGUUUAGUCAGGUGGCAUGCAUGGAUUAUCCUAGCAGGUUAUAUGUUGUGCUUUCAACAAAGGGAAGGCAUGUACGGAGUCUCUCUCCCAUGACAUGCAAGCUUGUCGGGCUGCAUGUCGUAGUGUGGGGAGGAUCCUUUCAUGCCUUCCCAUGUUAAUGCAUUAUGGCAAGUCGACUUUCAUUUCAGUUGUAAGCUGGUUUUUGUUGAAACAGGGCCGGCCGAAAUAUUCCCCGGUGUAGAUCUGUAGUGGUGAAUCAUGUUGCCAGGCAAAGUCUAUAGGUUGAUGAUCACCGGUAUAAAGGCUUGUACCGGUGAUGUCAAGGCCAACUACUGCGGCGGGCCAUUAGACUCAAAGCCUCACCAAAAAGGUGCAAGUUUACCUCUAGUAGAUGUUAAAAAUCACUAGGGAAGAACUUGUUAUUUGGUUCCCUGUGGGUCCAACUCCCAAAAAAUUGCCAGAAGCCUUACAUAUUUAAAUUAAAUUGGCACCUCACGCAUUAAAAAUAUCAUUCAUAACGCUACUCUACUCAAGUGCGACCAAAAAUAUCAUUUAGGUUCCAGAUUUUAGGAAAUCAUGAGACCAUGUAGAGCAAAUUGUUGCUAGCAACUAAAUCUAGAAAAAAAAAAACAUAACUUUUGAAUGCCCAUGCUGCUAGAUUAUGCGUAAAAUGCAUCCAGGUGUUUAACUAUGACCUUGAACAUGAAAGUCUCAACUUCUUCGCCAUGUAGUCAAAGAUCUUGUGUUGAUAGUGAUGGUAACGCCUAUUUUUCGUUUA